GACAGAGGGUGCAAACGUUGUUCGGAAUUACUGGGCGUAAAGCGCGUGUAGGCGGCCCUGUAAGUCGGGUGUGAAAUCCCACGGCUCAACCGUGGAAGUGCAUUCGAAACUACAGGGCUAGGGUUCUGGAGAGGAAGGUGGAAUGCUUGGUGUAGAGGUGAAAUUCGUAGAUAUCAAGCGGAACACCGGUGGCGAAGGCGGCCUUCUGGACAGUAACUGACGCUGAGACGCGAAAGCGUGGGGAGCAAACAGG
rnacentral:rRNA from 1 species